rnacentral:rRNA from 1 species
GAUGAACGCUGGCGGCGUGCCUAAUACAUGCAAGUCGAGCGAACAGACGAGGAGCUUGCUCCUCUGACGUUAGCGGCGGACGGGCGAGUAACACGUGGAUAACCUACCUAUAAUACUUGGAUAACUUCGUGAAACCGGAGCUAAUACCGGAUAACAUGUCGAACCGCAUGGUUCAACAGUGAAAGACGGUCUUGCUGUCACUUAUAGACGGAUCCGCGCCGCAUUAGCUAGUUGGUAAGGUAACGGCUUACCAAGGCAACGAUGCGUAGCCGACCUGAGAGGGUGAUCGGCCACACUGGAACUGAGACACGGUCCAGACUCCUACGGGAGGCAGCAGUAGGGAAUCUUCCACAAAGGGCGGAAGCCUGACGGAGCAACGCCGCGUGAGUGAAGAAGGUCUUCGGAUCGUAAAACUCUGUUAUUAGGGAAGAACAAAUGUGUAAGUAACUAUGCACGUCUUGACGGUACCUAAUCAGAAAGCCACGGCUAACUUCGUG